UUUUGUCUGCUUUGCUCUGCCAA
rnacentral:piRNA from 1 species